rnacentral:lncRNA from 1 species
ACAGCAACCAUGGAAUACAUUAUAGGAGGAAUAUGGUUAUUAAGACCAGGGUGAUUACAGCAACAUGGAAUAAAUAUAGGAGGAAUAUGGUUAUUAAGACCAGGGAGAUACAGCAACAUGGAAUAAAUAUAGGAGGAAUAUGGUUAUUAGACCAGGGGGUGAUACUAGCAACAUGGAAUAAAUAUAGGAGGAUAUGGUUAUUAAGACCAGGGAGAUUAAAUAUAGGAGGAAUAUGGUUUAUUAAGACCAGGGAGAUACAGCAACAUGGAAUAAAUAUGGAGGAAUAUGGUUAUUAAGACCAGGGAGAUAAAUAUAGGAGGAAUAUGGUUAUUAAGACCAGGGAGAUAAAUAUAGGAGGAAUAUGGUUAUUAAGACCAGGGAGAUACAGCAACAUGGAUAAAAUAGGAGGGAUGUGCUGAUUCUGUGCUAUAGCCUUGUGAAAGACCUUUUAAAGUCCAUUUAGGCUAAAAGUUAUGAGAAGAGGAGGACUGCGAAAUAUAAGGAAAAUAAAUGUUCCCAAAGUUGCAACCAGUGAAGGGUGUUGUUUUGUGUGUAUGCAGGUAUGUGCGCCCUCCAGCUGUAGUUGAACUAUGCCUGGAUAGAAGGAAACACUCUGUUUGUGUGAGAGUGAGUAUUGAUAUACGCAGAACAUUGACAGAAAAGCCGUACAUUUUUCAUGAUAUCUAUUAAUUCACACUCUCAUUCAUUCCAAAUAUAACAUCCAUCCAGUCACCAGAAGUUUUGAUAAGUCUCUUCUUUUCCGUCACUAGGCUUUUGUCAGCAUUCCUACUUUUUAAAUAGCCUCAUGAUCCACCUGAUUCCUCAUGUUUACUGAGCUCACUCACCCCUCCGCCAUCCCUCCCCAUUACCUCGCUAUGGAGAAUGUGACAUCACUGUCUGGAACUGUGCCAGACAUGACCUUCGACUCAUCUGGAGGAGGAACCAGAAACAGUCUUUCCCACCACCAGGAACUAGUAGAAGAAGCAUCAACUCACCACUAACCAAGACAACCUCAUUCCAUUUCCACACUAGGAACCAGUAACUCAGACACUAACCAAGACAACCUCAUUCCAUUUCCACACUAGGAACCAGUAACUCAGACACUAGCCAAGACAACCUCAUUCCAUUUCCCGUUGUUACGUCUUAUUUACCCGUGUGUAUGUCUUAUUUACCCGUGUGUACGUCUUUUACUGUCCGUCUUAUUUACCCGUGUGCACGUCUUAUUUACCCGUGUGCACGUCUAUUACCGUGUGCACGUCUUAUUUACCGUGUGCACGUUUAUUUACCCGGUGCACGUCUUAUUUACCCGUGUUGUGUACGUCUUAUUUACCCGUGUGUACCUCUUAUUUCCCCGUGUGUAUGUCUUAUUUCCCGUGUGCCGGUCUUAUUUACCCGUGUCAGUCAAUAGCUAGUGCUGAUGAUUUCUGAC